ACUUAACACCUCCUUCCUUGCCCGGAGGCCAGAGCUCAAGCCCAUCCCCUGUGCCUACACAGCAGGUAGCUCUGUGGCCUCUACUUCCUCUUCACAGCCAUCCCUAACUUGUUUGCUGCGCCCCAGACCAUUCAGUCUUGUCUUCACCCUUUAGAAUUUCUCUGGUUCCUGACAUACACAAGGGAUUGGUCAGAGGAAUGCACCAGAAGAAAUCCUACCACACAGAAGUUUUCUGUAAAAAAAAAUGAGAUGGUGGAAUUUGAAUACAGAAGUAACUGAUCUGUUCUGAACUUAUAAUGAUGAAAUAAUGGAACAGGAAAGAGGAUUCUGACUCCGGUGUUGAGGAAUGAGGCCCAGGAUCUGAAUUUUAGAUCUCAUGGAAAAUACUAACAUUACCUUCAGCCAUGUCUCCUUACACCCCUCUUGGCUGUGACUGUUUCUCAGACCUUGCUUGCUUUUGAAGGCCUUGACAGUUUGAGCACUACGAGUCAGCACCAUGCAAGGGUUCUCAAAGUGUUGUCCUUGAACCAGCAGCAGCAGCUGCAUCACCUAGGGACAGAUCUCUCUGGUUCCAGUUUCUCUUCUGUUUUCAAAGUGAUAUGCUGAAGAGGAAGGCACAUUAUCGGGAAGUCCUGAAGAUGCACCAGUAGAAGCUGACUGAGAAGCAUUAUAUAAGACU
rnacentral:lncRNA from 1 species